GGUAGUUGUACUUGUAGGUUCUGUAGUCGUGGUUGUUGCUUCUGUUGUCGUUGUCGUAGUAGUUGGUUCUAUAGUUGUAGUUGUGGCUUCAGUGGUCGUGGUCGUAGUCGUAGGUUCUGUUGUCGUAGUUGUGGCUUCGGUGGUUGUAGUAGUAAUAGGUGCCGUAGUUGUAGCUUCAGUAGUAGUUGUCGUUGUUUCAGUAGUCGUUGUGGUUGGUUCCGUAGUAGUAGUCGUAGCCACAGUGGUUGUAGUUGUUCCUUCGGUUGUCGUCGUUGUAGUAG